rnacentral:lncRNA from 7 species
CACUGUUUGCAACAGUAUCAAUGACAGUUAGAUCAUGCAUAAAAAGAGAGAAAUCACACACAUCUUGUUUCGUUUACCUUUACAUAUUUUUUUUUGUAGCUAAGGACUAGGCCAGGGAGCACGCCGCAGAGAUGGUCUGAUCUGAUGAUGCCACGCGCACCAGCUUUGCACCGCGUGAUCAACAUGCUGGAUCCUGCAUAUGCUUUCACGUUCCCUGCUGAUGAUGUUGUUUGCUUUAUUACGCCGAGUAUAAAUUAAUUUGAGAGAAAUUCUUGAAUAAUCCCCUGUCUGGCAGUUUGUCAGAUCACACACAGGGUGGUUUACCUCAACAGUCUCAGCUUUCCGACGGUCCAAUUCAGUCUUGAACUGUUUCAUUGUUGCUCUUAGUCUGGUUGCAGCUGCUGGA